UGGGGAAUUUUGGACAAUGGGCGAAAGCCUGAUCCAGCAAUGCCGCGUGUGUGAAGAAGGCCUUCGGGUUGUAAAGCACUUUUGUCCGGAAAGAAAUCCUUGGCUCUAAUACAGUCGGGGGAUGACGGUACCGGAAGAAUAAGCACCGGCUAACUACGUGCCAGCAGCCGCGGUAAUACGUAGGGUGCAAGCGUUAAUCGGAAUUACUGGGCGUAAAGCGUGCGCAGGCGGUUUGCUAAGACCGAUGUGAAAUCCCCGGGCUCAACCUGGGAACUGCAUUGGUGACUGGCAGGCUAGAGUAUGGCAGAGGGGGGUAGAAUUCCACGUGUAGCAGUGAAAUGCGUAGAGAUGUGGAGGAAUACCGAUGGCGAAGGCAGCCCCCUGGGCCAAUACUGACGCUCAUGCACGAAAGCGUGGGGAGCAAACAGGAUUAGAUACCCUGGUAGUCCACGCCCCAAACGAUGUCAACUAGUUGUUGGGGAUUCAUUUUCCUUAGUAACGUAGCUAACGCGUGAAGUUGACCGCCUGGGGGAGUACGGUCGCAAGAUUAAAACUUAAAUGAAUUGACGGGGUCAUAGCUGUUUCCU
rnacentral:rRNA from 1 species